AGUCUGCAACCCGACUACAUGAAGCUGGAAUCGCUAGUAAUCGCGGAUCAGAAUGCCGCGGUGAAUACGUUCCCGGGUCUUGUACACACCGCCCGUCACACCAUGGGAGUCGGGAAUGCCCGAAGUCAGUGACCCAACCUUAGGGAGGGAGCUGCCGAAGGCAGGCCUAGUGACUGGGGUGAAGUCGUAACAAGGUAGC
rnacentral:rRNA from 1 species